rnacentral:rRNA from 1 species
GGAUGAACGCUGGCGGCGUGCCUACUGCAUGCAAGUCGAGCGAACGGCUGAGAAGCUUGCUUCUCUGAUGUUAGCGGCGGACGGGUGAGUAACACGUGGAUAACCUACCUAUAAGACUGGGAUAACUUCGGGAAACCGGAGCUAAUACCGGAUAAUAUUUUGAACCGCAUGGUUCAAAAGUGAAAGACGGUCUUGCUGUCACUUAUAGAUGGAUCCGCGCUGCAUUAGCUAGUUGGUAAGGUAACGGCUUACCAAGGCAACGAUGCAUAGCCGACCUGAGAGGGUGAUCGGCCACACUGGAACUGAGACACGGUCCAGACUCCUACGGGAGGCAGCAGUAGGGAAUCUUCCGCAAUGGGCGAAAGCCUGACGGAGCAACGCCGCGUGAGUGAUGAAGGUCUUCGGAUCGUAAAACUCUGUUAUUAGGGAAGAACAUAUGUGUAAGUAACUGUGCACAUCUUGACGGUACCUAAUCAGAAAGCCACGGCUAACUACGUG